UACGAAGGGGGCUAGCGUUGUUCGGAAUUACUGGGCGUAAAGGGCGCGUAGGCGGUGUGUCAAGUCAGGCGUGAAAGCCCCGGGCUCAACCUGGGAACAGCGCUUGAGACUGGCACGCUCGAGUUCGGGAGAGGAUGGUGGAAUUCCCAGUGUAGAGGUGAAAUUCGUAGAUAUUGGGAAGAACACCGAUGGCGAAGGCAGCCAUCUGGACCGAAACUGACGCUGAGGCGCGAAAGCGUGGGGAGCAAACAGG
rnacentral:rRNA from 1 species